rnacentral:lncRNA from 10 species
GGAAAGCCGCAGGUCGGGCUCUCACCUGACCGUGGCUCGUUCCUAGAAGCGCAGUUUCCUAGUCGCUGCCUGUAGGGUCCACACUCGGACAGUAAAUUUGUGUUCAUCGCCGGGCGUGGUGGGGCCUGUGGUCCCAUCUACUCCGUAGGCUGAGGUGGAAGGAUCGCUUUAGCCCAGGAGGUGGAGGCUGCAGUGAGCCGAGAUCGCGCCACUGCACCCCUGUCUGGGCGACGGCGAGACCCCGUCUCCAAAAUGAUGAUAACGAUAACUACCAUUUUUGAGUACUAUGUGCUAGAUGCUUUUCAUGUGUUAUCUGAUUACUGUAGCCCUACCAGGUGCAGCCUGGCACCGUUUUAUUUCACUUAGAACUGAGAUUCCGAUAAAGUAACUUUUCCAAGGCAAGAGGUAGUCAGAGGCUGAGGAAUGAUUCAAAUUUAAGUCCAGCUCCAAAGCACCGGCCCAGUGUAGUCUGCAGAGUUCCAGCCCCAUAGAGCCACAUGGAGGAUGCGAGUGACAAUCGCCAAUCAACAAAUAGUUGAUGUAGAUUUCUUUAGUGAUGACUUAAUUGUUAGGGCCUGCUGGGAUUGUUCGAAAACCAGGGCUGAGAGUGGAAAGUGCAACUUCUGGGUGCAGGAGGAGCAAACAGGGCAACUGAUAGCAGUUUCCACAUUAGGAAGCUGCCCAGAGCUAAUUAUGACUGUCACAACACAGCCCCCCCUUAACUCAACACACCAAAAUAAAGAGCUUCGGUUCCGCUUUAGAUCCUGAAUUUGACUUCUUUGCAGGUUUAUACGAUGGUCUUAGUGUCAUGUGGGGUAAUUGUGAGGAUUUCGAUUGUAUUUAAUUCUCCAUGGAAAACCAGUACGGUUUGCUACUUUUUACAUGGCAGGGAAGGCUAAACUUUACCUCUGCCCAUCUUAGUUCGGAGUGACCCCUUUAACAAAUGAAAGGAUAACAAGAAAAAAGUUUAUUCUUGGACAGAGUACACAUCACAAGGGAUAAACCUUAAUGAGAAGUAACUUGAAAUGGUGGCUUAGAACUACA